CUAAAUCUCAGGUUUUCUUCUAUUUUGUUUGCUUCACGUGAUUGACAGAAAAUUGACCAAUUAGAGCAUCAGGUCGGUUUCAAAACAGAGUAGAACAUCAGCUUCUUCUUUCUCUUCUCUCAACAACAAGGAAGUUGAAAAAAUUAAGAAGAUUCCUUAAGCACCUGUAAAUGCUAACGAGAGCAAGGAGCCUUUGAUAGUUAAAUUUCACCAAUCAUUGUACCACUACUUUGAACUGCAAAGUAUUGCUAUGCAAAAUCAGUUUUUACAAGUUAACCAAUAUGUGAUUGUUGGAUAAGCCCAAGAUCAAGUACUAUAUCAGUAAGAAUUUUUUUAUCGAAGUUUGUAUCUUAGAAAUUCUAAGUAUUAGAGUUUGUUCUGUUUUGUAUUGUUUACAUCUCUGAUUGUAUAUCAAAUGUAAGAAUAAAUCUGUUUAUUUGUAAACUCUUAGAAGUCUUUUUCAGUUGUGUUUAAGCAUUGAAAGCCUCUUUCUUUUGUGCUUGAGCAUUGGAAGUCUCUUGGCUUUGUCCUUGAGCAUUUGUAAUCUUGUUUGACUAUAUGAAAUCCCUUGGAAGUGCAAGGGGACUAGACUCGUCUUGGAUUGUAUGAGGAACCAGUAUAAUUGUUUGUGUCUGUUUUCCCUCUCUCUAUUAUCUUACUUCACUACAAGCAGUUUCAGAGUACUCCUCAGUUUCUGA
rnacentral:lncRNA from 1 species